GAUGAACGCUGGCGGCGUGCCUAAUACAUGCAAGUCGAGCGAACAGACGAGGAGCUUGCUCCUCUGACGUUAGCGGCGGACGGGUGAGUAACACGUGGAUAACCUACAUAUAAGACUGGGAUAACUUCGUGAAACCGGAGCUAAUACCGGAUAAUAUAUUGAACCGCAUGGUUCAAUAGUGAAAGACGGUUUUGCUGUCACUUAUAGAUGGAUCCGCGCCGCAUUAGCUAGUUGGUAAGGUAACGGCUUACCAAGGCGACGAUGCGUAGCCGACCUGAGAGGCUGAUCCGCCACACUGGAAGUGAGACACGGUCCAGACUCCUACGGGAGGCAGCAGUAGGGAAUCUGCCGCAAUGUGCGAGAGCCUGACGGAGCAACGCCGCGUGAGUGAUGAAGGUCUUCGGAUCGUAAAACUCUGUUAUUGGGGAAGAACAAAUGUGUAAGUAACUAUGCACGUCUUGACGGUACCUAAUCAGAAAGCCACGGCUAACUACGUG
rnacentral:rRNA from 1 species